rnacentral:rRNA from 1 species
UAGGGAAUAUUGGUCAAUGGAGGGAACUCUGAACCAGCCAUGCCGCGUGAAGGAUGACGGCCCUUUGGGUUGUAAACUUCUUUUAGAUGGGACGAAAAUGCGGGAUUUAUCCUGUACUGACGGUACCAUCGGAAUAAGCACCGGCUAACUCCGUGCCAGCAGCCGCGGUAAUACGGAGGGUGCAAGCGUUAUCCGGAAUCACUGGGUUUAAAGGGUGCGUAGGCGGUUAGAUAAGUCAGUGGUGAAAGCUUCCCGCUUAACGGGAGAACUGCCAUUGAUACUGUUUAACUUGAAUUAAGUUGAGGUUGGCGGAAUGUGACAUGUAGCGGUGAAAUGCUUAGAUAUGUCAUAGAACACCGAUUGCGAAGGCAGCUGACUGGGCUUUAAUUGACGCUGAGGC